GUAAGUUUCUGUAAAUUAGAAAUUCUUAGGUUUAUGUGAAAUUGAAUACACAUCUCUUUUGACUUUAGAGAUUCUUGAAAGACCAACAAUGGCUUUUGUACUGUACUCCUUUCUUUCCUUCUAUUUUUAUGUAUGACGAAAACUUUUUUCCUUUUCAUAAAUAAUUAAAUUGCGUUAACAAAAGUUGUCAAAUGAAAUGCUAUAUGUGAAUGGAACAGUUCAAACAUUGGAUCUAAGGAGUACAGUUGUUCCUAAUAAACUGUAAAGAGAUACCAUGAGCAACAAUUUUGGACAAUGUUUGCUAAACUACAUCUUUUAUUUUUUUUCUAAUUAGCUACUCAAGUAUUCUUAUUUUGCUUUAAUUUUUUCCGUUCUCAUUUUGUUUUGUGUUUUUAGGUUGG
rnacentral:misc_RNA from 1 species